rnacentral:ncRNA from 1 species
AAGCUCCAGCCGAACUGUCCCCUCAGGGGGUGCGUUCCCGCAAGGGAUAGGCUGGGGCUCUUUC